GUUUAUUUGAAUCUUUACGAAUAUUGCCGCAUAAAACGUUAUCAAAAAUUGAUUCAAUUUAAAUUCUGUAAACUUUCCGAAUUACGAAUCUGAAUUUUAUUUUCAAUUAGUUCAUACAUUUUAAUUGUCAUCGCGUAUUAAAUCUUAAUGUAUUAGAUAUGGCACACACUCUCUGUUCAUCCAUCCCAAAUAACAACACUCAUACCUGUGUACGCUUGAAUUCACACCUGCGGCUAAAUUGCUACAAGGUAAACGAAUUGACAUGAAGCCGAGAAAUAUACAGUGACCGUUACAAAAUAAUUAACACACUCUGCUCACACAUAAGUUGCAUUGAAAUGAUUACCAAAAUAAUAACG
rnacentral:lncRNA from 1 species